rnacentral:rRNA from 1 species
AGUGAACGCUGGCGGCAGGCCUAACACAUGCAAGUCGAACGGCAGCACGGCAGUAGCAAUACUGUGGGUGGCGAGGUGGCGGACGGGUGAGGAAUACAUCGGGAUCUACCCUGUUGUGGGGGAUAACGUAGGGAAACUUACGCUAAUACCGCAUAAGAACUGAGGUUGAAAGCGGCGGACCGCAAGGCGUCGCGCGAUUGGAUGAACCGAUGUCCGAUUAGCUAGUUGGCGGGGUAAAGGCCCACCAAGGCGACGAUCGGUAGCUGGUCUGAGAGGACGACCAGCCACACUGGAACUGAGACACGGUCCAGACUCCUACGGGAGGCAGCAGUGGGGAAUAUUGGACAAUGGGCGCAAGCCUGAUCCAGCCAUGCCGCGUGGGUGAAGAAGGCCU